GCCGGCAGCUAGCUCUCUGCAACUCUCACAUGGUCGCCCACUGAAGCUAAGCAGCUGAAGCUAAGCAGGGCUGCGCCCGGUCAGUACCUGGAUGGGAGACCACUUGGGAAAGCUAGGUUGCUGCCGGAA
rfam:Danio rerio chromosome 14 genomic contig CTG1748, GRCz11 reference primary assembly.